rnacentral:rRNA from 1 species
CUGCAGCCCGAGUGGUGAUCGAUUUUAUUGAGCCUAAAGCGUCCGUAGCCGGACUAGUAAACCCUUGGGUAAAUUGGGCAGCUUAACUGUCCAAAUUCCGAGGGGACUGCUAGUCUUGGGACCGGGAGAGGUCAGAGGUACUCAAGGGGUAGGGGCUAAAUCCUGUAAUCCUUUGGGGACCACCAGUGGCGAGGGCGUCUGACUAGAACGGAUCCGACGGUAAGGGACGAAACCCUGGGGCGCGAACCGGAUUAGAUACCCCCGUAGUCC